rnacentral:miRNA from 1 species
CUGACUGUGUGUGUGUGUGUGUGUGUGUGUGUGUGUGUGUGUGUUCUCAUUCUCUCUCUCUCUCACACACACACACACACACACACACAG